AGAGUUUGAUCAUGGCUCAGGAUGAACGCUGGCGGCGUGCUUAACACAUGCAAGUCGAACGAACCUUCGGGUUAGUGGCGGACGGGUGAGUAACGCGUGAGAAUCUGCCCUCAGGAGGGGGAUAACGGUUGGAAACGACCGCUAAUACCCCAUAUGCCUAUUGGUGAAAUGAAUUUCGCCUGAGGAUGAGCUCGCGUCUGAUUAGCUUGUUGGUGAGGUAAUGGCUCACCAAGGCUUCGAUCAGUAGCUGGUCUGAGAGGAUGAUCAGCCACACUGGGACUGAGACACGGCCCAGACUCCUACGGGAGGCAGCAGUGGGGAAUUUUCCGCAAUGGGCAAAAGCCUGACGGAGCAACGCCGCGUGAGGGAUGAAGGCCUCUGGGCUGUAAACCUCUUUUCUCAAAGAAGAAGAUAUGACGGUACUUGAGGAAUAAGCCACGGCUAAUUCCGUGCCAGCAGCCGCGGUAAUACGGGAGUGGCAAGCGUUAUCCGGAAUUAUUGGGCGUAAAGCGUCCGCAGGCGGCUUUUCAAGUCUGCUGUUAAAACGUGGAGCUUAACUCCAUCAUGGCAGUGGAAACUGAAAGGCUUGAGUAUGGUAGGGGCAGAGGGAAUUCCCGGUGUAGCGGUGAAAUGCGUAGAUAUCGGGAAGAACACCAGUGGCGAAGGCGCUCUGCUGGGCCAUUACUGACGCUCAUGGACGAAAGCCAGGGGAGCGAAAGGGAUUAGAUACCCCUGUAGUCCUGGCCGUAAACGAUGAACACUAGGUGUCGGGGGAAUCGACCCCUUCGGUGUCGUAGCUAACGCGUUAAGUGUUCCGCCUGGGGAGUACGCACGCAAGUGUGAAACUCAAAGGAAUUGACGGGGGCCCGCACAAGCGGUGGAGUAUGUGGUU
rnacentral:rRNA from 1 species